UUUUUGGAGAGUUUGAUCCUGGCUCAGGACGAACGCUGGCGGCGUGCCUAAUACAUGCAAGUCGAGCGAAUCUGACGGGAGC
rnacentral:rRNA from 1 species